AUGCACCAAAAGACUCCAAAAACGCUCCAUUAAUUCUAGAUUUUCUUCAUCAAACGCUCAUUCUGGGUUAGAGAUCGUCUCUAGAUCCGUGUCGACGGACACGGAACACUGCUGCAGACCCGCGUGUUCUUUCCGCAACACCUGUUGACGUGCUGGAAGGCCUCGCUGAGGCUGCGUAACUGGCGACACGCGUCGCCGCUUGAACAGCGUUCCUAGCAGUAAGCUCGUUUCCAAUUGAUCGGUUUCAUGGAACUGCAAUUCAGACCGAGUACCGUUGCCUAAAACGAGCACUCGUUUACCUGGCUCCGCCCUAUGGAUGUCUUUUCGUGAAAACGCGCGUCCACAAGCGCCCACUGCCUUGUUCGCGCGCUUUACGCUUGAUGCCCAGCGAGGUGAACGAGCUCAGCACGUCCGCUCUGUAACCAGGUGACAUAGACCCGGUGCUCAGCGUCCCGAACAUGCAGCUCUUUCACAUUGAGCGAUACCAGGGGGCCGUGAAACACCUGUGCGGCCUGGUUGUCGGCCUGGGCCUCGGGGGAGCCGCUCGCGAGCCCCACGUAGACAGCCCCCGAGGUACUGCCCUUGGGUAGGACUCGAACCGCGACCUGGUCGCCUCUGUGCAACUGCAUACCGCGAUAGAAGAGCGUGCCCCGGGAGACAAACGCAUCGGGGUCACCGCCGACGGGAAACUCAGGCAUAGGGAUCGGCUUUUCGUCAGCAGGUACCGCUGUUACCGCUGAAGGUUGCGCGGCAGCGAUAUCCGGUGUUCCAGGGCUCAGCGCUGUACCUGGGUGCCCAGCGUCACCGGUGUUCACACGAGGCUCAGAAACCUGCGGAGUACGUGGAGACGCUGAACGCUCCGGUGCAUUAUCCGGCACUGGAGCGGGAGCGACCGCCUCCACCGCAAACUGGUUCGCUUCGCGUGUCGAAGCAUGCUGCGUCUGCAGCGGGGCAGCAGCACCUGCGACUCGUCCAGAGGAGGUAUCGCUCUUCGCCACGGACGAGUCUGGCGCUUUGUCUGCCGCUGAUUCGUUGGGUGCAGAUUCCGAUUUCAGCGGUCUCGUCAUCGCAGGAGAGGACGCUAGAGAGCGCCCGGCUUGUUCAGCGUUGUGCUCGAAGCCUGGAUGUACCGUACUGGAGACAGUUCCUACAUUCGAUCGCGGAGCAGCGGUAGAACUCGAAGACGACGAUACGUCGUUUUCGGGCUCCGGUGGUGGGUGCACUGGCCUCUUGUCCCUGGCCGAUGUUGGCGGUUUGCGUACCUUGUUCGUGCUGGGCCGCGGCGGCACCCCGGCGUUGGAGCCACGAUCACCAGCACCAGUGGGUUCCAGCGGGGGCCGCUUCCGAGGUCGACCACGCUUCCCCGUUGAACGUGCAUCCGAUGAGGUACCAGCGUCGUGUGCGCCUGCCGAGCCUCGUGCUGCUUUCGGUGCAGCAACAUGUCCGGACGUUGGCGUAGUAGAAGCAGCAGUAGCAACAGUAGUAGUAGCAGAGCGUCCGACGGCGCCAGUCCGCGGCUGCUCCGGCGGCAGUUCUCGAGUCGCAUUCCCGGGCCGUGCUCCCAAGCGGUGUGCGGGUUGGUCGCGCUGUACCAGACCAACCGCUAGACGAGAGCGCUGUUUCUGGUCAUUCCAGUCGAUACCCAAGUCACCGGCAGCAGACAACGAACCGUUUCCGAUGGCUGCCGUGCCAGCUGCUGGAGCUCGGUGCGCGCUCGACUGGGUCCCGGUCUCGGCGAUGCUGCUGCGCUCGUGCGAAUGUCGAGCUCCAGUGGACUGCCGGUUAGAGGCGCGAGCCCGAGCGCCCGUUUGGCGACCAGUUGGACCGCUCGGUGCUCGACCGGCGCUGGUCAGCAGCUGGCCGUCUGUAGCGGUUUCGUUUCCAGAGGCACCAGGGGCGCGCCCAGCAUGCGCGUUGCCCGCCUUAGCUCUACGACGCAAGGCGGUGAUCGCUCGCUGGACUUCACGGAGGUCGUCGGAAGCCUCGCCAGGCUCCAGACCCAGACUCACUGGACGACGUUCCAGCAGCAAGAGGCUCUCUUCUGGCGUCAGGUUCGCAGCCGUACCCAUUGCAGCCGGGGAAGCGCCUCGUGGGCGUGCGGGUAACAGUUGAUAGGGGACACCAGCAAAACCCGGUGGAAUCAUAACCGGCGGUUGGCCGAAAAGCACCAUAGGAUCCCGGUCCAGCUGACAAGCGAUUCGAUACCGUCGUUGUCGUUGAAACGCUGCUUCCAGCAGGCGCUCUCGAAGCGACUCCUCCGCCACCAGGUACUGGUGCUCGACUUCCCGGAAACGAGCUUGCGCGUACUUGUGCAAAUACGCUUGCUGUAGUUCAAAGUUCCGUUGGAUUCGAUUUUCUAAAGCAUAUCGCCGUC